ACUCAUAAACAAUGAAAAAUAUUUAGUUCAUGCGCAAAAUAGUGCUUCAAACUACAGCCAAAUUUUACAUGUCAGAAAGAAAAGACAACACUUACGGAGGUUCUCUAAUAGAAUCAUCUGAUUUUUGCCCAGAAUUUUUCUGCGAGAAACAGUGAAUUGGCCGGAUUGAACUUUACAAUGGGAAAAAAGGCAAUAGAGAAAGGCAACAAAUUUGGGGGAUAUUUGUUCAAAAAAGGGGGCAAAUAUGAAAUUAAAGGUAGAUUACCAGUCCUAAGUAGAGGUUGAAGAGAUCAAGGAUGGCAGGUCGAGAAGGAUGAAAGUGAUGGUGGUGGCUUCUGAAAACUGAGGAAGAAGAAGACCUCAACUGGGGCGGCGGCGGCGGCGGCGGCGGCUGCUCCAUUUCUGGUGUGGCUUGAUUUGAAUGACUGGUUGGAGUCGGAGCUCGCAGCAUCCUUUUCUUCCGUGCAUACACACAGUUGAAAUUCGAGUGGAGGGUUUUCUUCUUGACUCUUGGAUUUUGCUUUAACUUAACUAUUUACAAUACUAGCAUGACUCUUGGCAGGUUCGGUUCGGUUAUUCGGUUUUGGGUUCGUAAAAGUAGUAAUCGAAACCAAACUGAAAUAAGUU
rnacentral:lncRNA from 1 species